GUACACUCCUGCGGGAGGCAGCAGUGGGGAAUAUUGCACAAUGGGCGCAAGCCUGAUGCAGCCAUGCCGCGUGUAUGAAGAAGGCCUUCGGGUUGUAAAGUACUUUCAGCGGGGAGGAAGGUGUUGAGGUUAAUAACCUCAGCAAUUGACGUUACCCGCAGAAGAAGCACCGGCUAACUCCGUGCCAGCAGCCGCGGUAAUACGGAGGGUGCAAGCGUUAAUCGGAAUUACUGGGCGUAAAGCGCACGCAGGCGGUCUGUCAAGUCGGAUGUGAAAUCCCCGGGCUCAACCUGGGAACUGCAUUCGAAACUGGCAGGCUAGAGUCUUGUAGAGGGGGGUAGAAUUCCAGGUGUAGCGGUGAAAUGCGUAGAGAUCUGGAGGAAUACCGGUGGCGAAGGCAGCCCCCUGGACAAAGACUGACGCUCAGGUGCGAAAGCGUGGGGAGCAAACAGGAUUAGAUACCCCUGUAGUCCCA
rnacentral:rRNA from 1 species